UCCAGCUAUUUGGCCCAACCCAUAUUAGAUUGUGUUAUAAAGACAUGGUAAAUUACAUCACGAAGGGAAGAGCAGAGGAAACAUAAUAUUCCUUCAAGACCCAUCAGCUCAGAUGUUAGCAGAACACCCCUAAGGAGGAAAACAAGAAAUUUUGGGUUUGAACUUGGUGCUUCCCAGCAGCCCUGGGAGUGGGGUCAGAAGCCCUGCUGGGGGGCGAAGAACUCUGAGGAUCAAAGAUGUUGAGCAUCACCUUAGAGGCCAAAGAUCAGAACAGCGGAGGUGGCCUUUGAAGCCCAACCUGUCUUUCACCAGAGAGUGAGAACGGCCUCUAUUUCCAGGAAGCUCACUGCAGCAAUAAUCACGAUGCUCUGAGCCUGACAAGCAAAAGAAAACUUCUUUAGGAGGAUAAAAGGGAGAUGAAGAAACAGAAAACACAUCAGCUCUCCAUCCAGAUUACAGAAAGCAGAAAACAUCCUGAAGUGAAUAACAUAGGAAUCACUCUUUUUCCCCCCUGAGAUAGCAGGUUACUUAUGAGAAACAAGCUUGAAAUCUCUGCACCUGGACCAGCUUCCAGAGGCUUUUGUCCUGACCAGAUAUUUACUGAAUAACUAGAAGAUGCUAGAUGCUAUUCUAUUCAUUUUAUACCACUCUUCAAAUUACGGAUGUUUCCCCACCGAAACCGACCCUCACAAAAGAAAAACUAUCUGGGGCCUUGGAUCCUC
rnacentral:lncRNA from 1 species